rnacentral:lncRNA from 1 species
UGCCAUAUGCUUCUCAUAACGCACACACAAAAGAAUUACAAAAAGGACUACGCACUCCUCAUACUCCUCAUCUUGAUCUUGUGUUCAGCUUGUAAAGUUCACUUCAAUCUGUUUGAGCAUAGGACAAACCAAAAGCCAUGUGUCCCAUCUCCACUGAAUUGAUGUGUAAGAGGUCAGAAAGAGCAACAGCUUUUUGAAGAUUGAUUAAUAAAGAACAUGAUGAUGAGCCUAAGUUCAAUUGUCAUCCUAUUUUCUCCCUGUGUCCUAUGGAGAAGGGGGGGUAAAUGAGCCCGUCUAUGUGCCAAGGCUAGCCCACCACAUUGUAGAGCACUGAAAAGGAAGAGAGAUGAAUGCUGACUGGAUUUCAGGAUUGGCUGCAAAAGCUGUACUGUAGAAGACCUCACUCACUUUUAAGAUUUUCCAGCACCAGAUCUUCCUUGGCUAUUUGGACUUAUUUUGCAGUCAUGUUAGCCAUCAUCCAUGUUGUUUGUUUCUUUCUGUUUAGCAUGAUUUCACUAAUAGUCAAAAUUUGCUAGCCCAGAUAGUGUCCCUGAUGCUUUUGCCUGAAACAUCUCUGUGGAAUGUCACUGAAAAAAAGGAAAUAGAAGAAAAAAAAAAAAAAAGUGAUUCAGAACAUAAUUUGUCUGACAAAAGCAAUGAAGCAAUAACCAUUCAACUCCAUGCAUGGAAAGGUUUUUGCUGUGGGACAUGGAGUCUACUGGGCUGUUCUUUGUGAGAAGAGUCUAGAAGCUGCCCAUUAUAGAUACAAGCCAGUUCCAUCUGCUGCUGUCCAAAGCAGAGCCAGUGAGAGAUGCUGAUUUUGCCUCUGUAAGAGCAUAUCUAAGAAAGGAGAAAAAAUCUGCUGUGCAGCAGCAGCUGGGAGAAAUGAGUGAGAAAAUGUAGAGUGAAACAAUUCUGCAGAUGCAAAGAUCAGUGCAGAAGGAGGGGGAGGAGGUGCUCCAGAUACAGAAGCAGAAGUACCCUGCAGCCUGUGUGACACCUAUAGCAGGCUGUCUCCCUGCAGCCCGUGGGCACCACAUGAAACAGAUCUCCACACUGAGUCCCAUGGAGGAGCCCACAGGGGUGCAGGUGAAUGCAACCCACUGAAGGCCCAUAGAGGAGAAGAUUCUGUGACAAACCUGCAGCUUUUGGAGAGGAGUCCAUGGUGGAGCAAGAGGUCUGAGAGAGCUAUCACCCAUGGGGGACCCAUGCUGGAACUCACUGUUCUUGAAGGAUGGCCUCCAUGCUACAGUCCCAUCAAGGAGCAGUUACUGAAGAAAUACAGCCUGUGGUAAGCUGAUGUUGGAUUAGUUUAGGAGAGAUGGCAUCCCAUGGGAGAUAAUGUAUGCUGGAGCAGAGGAAGAGAGUGAAGAUGAAGGAGCAGCAAAAAUGAAGCAUUACAGACUGACCAUAGCCCAUUCUCCCUGCUUCCUUGUUCUGCAGUGGGAGAGGAGUAAGAAGAAGGUGUUUUUAUUUUGCUUUAAUUUCUCACUGUUCUAGUUUCCUAUUAAUAGCAAAUAAAUUAUAUUAAUCUCCUUACACUGAGUCAUUUUGCUCACGACAAUAAUUGUUAAGUAAGUGGUCUUCCUAUCC